UACGUAGGGUGCGAGCGUUAAUCGGAAUUACUGGGCGUAAAGCGUGCGCAGGCGGUUUUGCAAGCCGGAUGUGAAAUCCCCGGGCUCAACCUGGGAAUGGCAUUCGGGACUGCAAGGCUGGAGUGCGGCAGAGGAGACUGGAAUUCCUGGUGUAGCAGUGGAAAUGCGUAGAUAUCAGGAGGAAUACCGAUGGCGAAGGCAGGUCUCUGGGCUGACACUGACGCUCAUGCACGAAAGCGUGGGGAGCAAACAGG
rnacentral:rRNA from 1 species